UAAUGACACUUGCUAUUACCUUCCUGACCAAUCACUUUUUUAUAACUGGACUGAUGGAAAGCGGGCAUGUUCGGAACAAAAUGCAAAUAUGUUGUCCCCAAAAGAUGUUGGAACCAUCCAAGACUUGUCACUGCUAUUCUCAAGUUUUGUGGUGUGGCUAGGUCUAAGAUAUGACGUUUACAAAGGCAAUUUUGUAUGGAAUGAUGGUUCUGAAUAUGAAGCACAUAACACUUUCUGGAUCACAGACGAGCCAAACAACUAUAUUGGGUUUAAUAGUAAAUAUGGAGAAGACUGUACGAUGAUAAAAAAUGAUGGAUGGAAUGAUGCAUUUUGUGGUUCAAUCUAUCCUCUAAUUUGCGAACAGAUACUCUUUUCUUCUUCAAUGGUAAAUGCAUGUCCUGAUACAAGUCAAUGGCAACUUUACAUGGGGAAAUGUUAUCACAUUCUUAAGAACGUCGGUAUUGUGAUUAAAGCCUCCUGGUAUCAAGCAAUUGAUUUGUGUAGGAAUAUCAGCAAGAAUGCUACCCUUAUAAUGCCCAAGACUCGUGAGGAAAUGGAGUUCAUAAAAGAAAUGAU